rnacentral:rRNA from 1 species
CCGUAGGUGAACCUGCGGAGGGAUCAUUACAAGAACGCCCGGGCUUCGGCCUGGUUAUUCAUAACCCUUUGUUGUCCGACUCUGUUGCCUCCGGGGCGACCCUGCCUUCGGGCGGGGGCUCCGGGUGGACACUUCAAACUCUUGCGUAACUUUGCAGUCUGAGUAAACUUAAUUAAUAAAUUAAAACUUUUAACAACGGAUCUCUUGGUUCUGGCAUCGAUGAAGAACGCAGCGAAAUGCGAUAAGUAAUGUGAAUUGCAGAAUUCAGUGAAUCAUCGAAUCUUUGAACGCACAUUGCGCCCCCUGGUAUUCCGGGGGGCAUGCCUGUUCGAGCGUCAUUUCACCACUCAAGCCUCGCUUGGUAUUGGGCAACGCGGUCCGCCGCGUGCCUCAAAUCGUCCGGCUGGGUCUUCUGUCCCCUAAGCGUUGUGGAAACUAUUCGCUAAAGGGUGUUCGGGAGGCUACGCCGUAAAACAACCCCAUUUCUAAGGUUGACCUCGGAUCAGGUAGGGAUACCCGCUGAACUUAA